rnacentral:rRNA from 1 species
ACGGAAGGCAGCAGUGGGGGAUAUUGCACAAUGGAGGAAACUCUGAUGCAGCAACGCCGCGUGAGGGAAGAAGGUCUUCGGAUUGUAAACCUAAGUUAUCAGGGACGAAGUCAAUGACGGUACCUGAAGAGAAAGCUCCGGCUAACUACGUGCCAGCAGCCGCGGUAAUACGUAGGGAGCGAGCGUUGUCCGGAUUUACUGGGUGUAAAGGGUGCGUAGGCGGGCUUGCAAGUCAGGCGUGAAAUCCCGCGGCUUAACUGCGGGGCUGCGCUUGAAACUGUAAGUCUUGAGUGAAGUAGAGGCAAGCGGAAUUCCUAGUGUAGCGGUGAAAUGCGUAGAUAUUAGGAAGAACAUCAGUGGCGAAGGCGGCUUACUGGACUGUAACUGACGUUGAGGCGCGAAAGCGUGGGGAGCAAACAGGAUUAGAUACCCUGGUA